rnacentral:rRNA from 1 species
CUGAACCAGCCAAGUAGCGUGAAGGAUGACUGCCCUAUGGGUUGUAAACUUCUUUUAUAAAGGAAUAAAGUCGGGUAUGCAUACCCGUUUGCAUGUACUUUAUGAAUAAGGAUCGGCUAACUCCGUGCCAGCAGCCGCGGUAAUACGGAGGAUCCGAGCGUUAUCCGGAUUUACUGGGUUUAAAGGGAGCGUAGAUGGAUGUUUAAGUCAGUUGUGAAAGUUUGCGG